AUCAGUUUAGUUUAAUAAAAAAUUUUACUUUGUGAUAGUGAAGAUUCAUGAGAAGUUGAUA
rnacentral:tRNA from 1 species